rnacentral:rRNA from 1 species
GACGAACGCUGGCGGCGUGCUUAACACAUGCAAGUCGAACGGAAAGGCCCUGCUUUUGUGGGGUGCUCGAGUGGCGAACGGGUGAGUAACACGUGAGUAACCUGCCCUUGACUUUGGGAUAACUUCAGGAAACUGGGGCUAAUACCGGAUAGGAGCUCCUGCUGCAUGGUGGGGGUUGGAAAGUUUCGGCGGUUGGGGAUGGACUCGCGGCUUAUCAGCUUGUUGGUGGGGUAGUGGCUUACCAAGGCUUUGACGGGUAGCCGGCAUGAGAGGGUGACCGGCCACAUUGGGACUGAGAUACGGCCCAGACUCCUACGGGAGGCAGAAGUGGGGAAUAUUGCACAAUGGGCGGAAGCCUGAUGCAGCAACGCCGCGUGCGGGAUGACGGCCUUCGGGUUGUAAACCGCUUUCGCCUGUGACGAAGCGUGAGUGACGGUAAUGGGUAAAGAAGCACCGGCUAACUACGUG